rnacentral:rRNA from 1 species
AUUGAACGCUGGCGGCAGGCUUAACACAUGCAAGUCGAGCGGAGUGAUGGUGCUUGCACUAUCACUUAGCGGCGGACGGGUGAGUAAUGCUUAGGAAUCUGCCUAUUAGUGGGGGACAACAUUUCGAAAGGAAUGCUAAUACCGCAUACGUCCUACAGGAGAAAGCAGGGGAUCUUCGGACCUUGCGCUAAUAGAUGAGCCUAGGUCGGAUUAGCUAGUUGGUGGGGUAAAGGCCUACCAAGGCGACGAUCUGUAGCGGGUCUGAGAGGAUGCUCCGCCACACUGGGACUGAGACACGGCCCAGACUCCUACGGGAGGCAGCAGUGGGGAAUAUUGAACAAUGGGCGGAAGCCUGAUCCAGCCAUGCCGCGUGUGUGAAGAAGGCCUUAUGGUUGUAAAGCACUUUAAGCGAGGAGGAGGCUACUUUAGUUAAUACCUAGAGAUAGUGGACGUUACUCGCAGAAUAAGCACCGGCUAACUCUGUGCCAGCAGCCGCCGUAACAC